rnacentral:rRNA from 1 species
UACGUAGGGUGCAAGCGUUGUUCGGAAUCAUUGGGCGUAAAGCGCGUGUAGGUGGUUAGGAAAGUUGGAUGUGAAAUCCCUGGGCCCAACCCAGGAAGAGCAUCCAAAACUCCCUAGCUAGAGGGCGAGAGAGGGUGGUGGAAUUCCUAGUGUAGAGGUGAAAUUCGUAGAUAUUAGGAGGAAUACCGGUGGCGAAGGCGGCCACCUGGAUCGUUCCUGACACUGAGACGCGAAAGCGUGGGUAG